rnacentral:rRNA from 1 species
AACGCGAAGAUCCUUACCUGGCCUUGACAUGCUAGUAGUAGAACCCAGAAACGGGGACGAGGUAGCAAUACCAGCUAGCACAGGUGCUGCAUGGCUGUCGUCAGCUCGUGUCGUGAGGUGUUGGGUUAAGUCCCGCAACGAGCGCAACCCCUAUGAUUAGUUGCCCAGCAAUGGACCCUCUAGUCAGACUGCUCUGUGAAACGGAGAGGAAGGUGGGGAUGACGCCAAGUCAGGAUGGCCCUUACGGCCAGGGCUGCACACGUACUACAAUGCUCAGUACAGAAUGAACCGAAACCGCAAGGUGGAGGCAAUCCCUAAAACUGAGCCCAGCUCGGAUUGAGGGCUGCAACUCGCCCUCAUGAAGUUGGAAUCGCUAGUAAUGGCGCAUCAGCUACGGCGCCGUGAAUACGUUCCCGGGUCUUGUACACACCG